rnacentral:rRNA from 1 species
GAUGAACGCUAGCUACAGGCUUAACACAUGCAAGUCGAGGGGCAGCGCAGUGUAGCAAUACAUGGGCGGCGACCGGCGCACGGGUGCGUAACGCGUAUCCAACCUUCCCGUUACUCAAGGAUAGCCUUCCGAAAGGGAGAUUAAUACCUGAUGGUGUUGAAAUUCCGCAUGUUAUUUCAACUAAAGAUUUAUCGGUAACGGAUGGGGAUGCGUGACAUUAGAUAGUAGGCGGGGUAACGGCCCACCUAGUCUACGAUGUCUAGGGGUUAUGAGAGGAAGGUCCCCCACACUGGAACUGAGACACGGUCCAGACUCCUACGGGAGGCAGCAGUGAGGAAUAUUGGUCAAUGGUCGGAAGACUGAACCAGCCAAGUAGCGUGAAGGAUGAAGGUUCUAUGGAUUGUAAACUUCUUUUAUACGGGAAUAAAACCUCCCACGUGUGGGAGCUUGUAUGUACCGUAUGAAUAAGCAUCGGCUAACUCCGUGCCAGCAGCCGCCGUAAUAC